rnacentral:tRNA from 1 species
GCAUGUGGUGUCAGUUGGUCAGAGUGCCGUACUAAUAAUGCGGAUGUCUUGGGUUUGACCCCCAAAUUGAGCA